UCGGUCGUGAUUUGAUUCGUGUUCGGUUGUAUUACUAAAAUUUUGGCCAUGUAUAUUGUUUAUUCAAAAACAAAUAGGAUGAGCCACCAAGCCCAUGCAUGAAAGCCCAUUUAUUUUAAGUCCUAAUUUUAUCCACGUACUGGUGGCCUAUUCUUUUGGAAGAUGGGCAAUUUUUGAAGCCAUACACUCAUGGUUUAUUCUCAAAUUGAAAAACAGUAGCAACGUUUUCUUUAUUUCCUCUUAUUUCCUUCAACUAAAACCAUUCUUUUACCCUAAUUUCUUUCCACUCUUAAACCAAAAUUCGAGCCGUCGCAAUUCUCUCUAAUCCUUGGAAAUAAACUCUAGAAAUAACCCUCCUUUUUCAUUGUGAAAUUCGCUUUGUUUAGAGAACCGCUUCGUCUCAGCUGUAGUAGACUCGAUCCCCUACAAUUCUAUAGUUUCAGAUUCAGAUUUGACCCGUCGAAUGCUCGUGCUUCGGAGUCUACGCAUGGUUAGCUGUUUGCCAAGAUUCACGUGGAUAAGCAAACAGUGAGUUUGUAGUGCUAUUUACCGCUUUAUUAAG